UACGUAGGGGGCAAGCGUUGUCCGGAAUCAUUGGGCGUAAAGAGCGUGUAGGCGGCUUGGUAAGUCCGCUGUGAAAGUCCAGGGCUCAACCCUGGAAUGCCGGUGGAAACUGUCGGGCUAGAGUCCGGAAGAGGCGAGUGGAAUUCCUGGUGUAGCGGUGAAAUGCGCAGAUAUCGCUUGGAACGCCGAAGGUGAAAACAGGUUGCUGGGGUUAUGCCGACGCUGAGACACGAAAGCCAGGGGAGCGAACGGG
rnacentral:rRNA from 1 species